rnacentral:rRNA from 1 species
AUUGAACGCUGGCGGCAUGCCUUACACAUGCAAGUCGAACGGCAGCACGGGAGCAAUCCUGGUGGCGAGUGGCGAACGGGUGAGUAAUAUAUCGGAACGUGCCCAGUCGUGGGGAUAACGUAGAGAAAUUUACGCUAAUACCGCAUACGAUCUAAGGAUGAAAGCGGGGGACCGUAAGGCCUCGCGCGAUUGGAGCGGCCGAUAUCAGAUUAGGUAGUUGGUGAGGUAAAGGCUCACCAAGCCGACGAUCUGUAGCUGGUCUGAGAGGACGACCAGCCACACUGGGACUGAGACACGGCCCAGACUCCUACGGGAGGCAGCAGUGAGGAAUAUUGGACAAUGGGCGCAAGCCUGAUCCAGCCAUGCCGCGUGCAGGAUGACGGUCCUAUGGAUUGUAACUGCUUUUGUACGGAACGAAACGGUGAGCUCUAAUACAGUUUGCUAAUGACGGUACCGUAAGAAUAAGCACCGG